rnacentral:ribozyme from 1 species
AAACGAAAUACAAAUGCAAAUCCAGAAGACGUCCUCGUAGAACUUGGCUUCUUUUUUCUUUUUCUUUUUUCCUUUUCCUUCCCUUUUCUGUCAUCCCUUUUUUCCUUUUUGAUUUUCGAUUUCAGAGUAUCAGAUCGUCCCCAGAAAGACAGCCAGCAAUGACGAAGUCACU